rnacentral:rRNA from 1 species
UACGUAGGGGGCAAGCGUUGUCCGGAUUUAUUGGGCGUAAAGAGCGUGUAGGCGGCCAGACAGGUCCGUUGUGAAAACUCGAGGCUCAACCUCGAGACGCCGAUGGAAACCGUCUGGCUAGAGUCCGGAAGAGGAGAGUGGAAUUCCUGGUGUAGCGGUGAAAUGCGCAGAUAUCAGGAGGAACACCGGUGGCGAAGGCGGGUCUCUGGGCCGAUAUUGACGCUGAGGAGCGAAAGCGUGGGGAGCGAACAGG